CUUAUCCACGCCGAAGGAUGAACGUGCUCAGGGCAGCAAACAACUCGCCGGAGCACGGAGCGCGAAAGGCAUCGUACGCGCAAGGCUUCAUGCUGCUGCGCGAAGCGGAUGUAUGGCGUUGCUUCCUUGUACUUAAACAUAUACAUCUUUGAGUUGUAUGAGUCCCGUAAAUGGUCAUGCCACUUUAAAACAUACGUUCCCAUUAGACCUCAUCAAUAGAUCAUCUAAUAAACGACGGCGCUGUAUUGAAAGCGGUUCAUGGUAGACCUCAAAACUGGUUAGCACUUGAUAAAAAGUUCUACACAAGGACACUUCUGGGAACUACUCGUCGAAGCAUCGGGAGCUCGUCCGACGUUUGAUGUCAUGAUUAUCUAAAAUAAUAGAUUUACCGGAAGCCGAACAACUAUUUCACUAACUAAUACGAGCUGGAAUAGGAAAAAACGUAAAUCCGGAACUGAUUUUUAGCUACUCAAAACGACGCCACUUGUCGACUUGUUAUUGUUCAAUAAAACGCAUGCAAACCAAAUA